GAAGAACCAGGAGAGGAGGGAGUUGAAGAGUCUGCAUCUUUGGCAGGAUGCACGGUAACUAAACCAAGGCACUGUCUGCCUGAGUAAAGAGGGAGUGAAGAGUUGGAAGCCUCUACCCUGCCUUUCCCUACCAUGGGCUUCUUGCUCCUCUGCUGUGUGGCCUUUUGUCUCUUGAGAACAGGCUCCAUGGAUGCUGGCAUUACCCAGACCCCAAGGCAUGGGAUUAUAAAGACAGGAAAGAGCAUUUUACUUAAGUGUUCUCAGACUAAGAGUCAUAACUAUAUGUACUAGUAUCGACAAGACCCAGGACUGGGGCUACGGCUGAUCUACUACUCCUACGUCAGUGAUAUUAAUGAAGGAGCGGUCUCCAGUGGGUACAAGGCCUCUCGAGAGGGGCUGGCAAAAUUCUCCCUGUUCCUAGGGGCUGCCGUCCCCAACCAAACAGCUCUCUACUUCUGUGCCAGCAGUG